CUUAUAGAGAUCAUUACUGGUAGAAAGAAUACUGAUUAUAUCAAUGGAAGCCCAUUCCCGAAUCUCAUUGGACAUAUGUGGGAGUUAUGGAAGGAAGGAAGAGUGUUGGAUAUAGUUGAUCCAACACUGUGUCAGCCAUUUUCAGCUCAGGAGGAGGUUUCAAAAUGCAUCCACAUUGGGCUACUAUGUGUGCAGGAUGGUGCAACAGACCGACCAACCAUGUCCGAGGUUAUUUCCAUGCUGACUAAUGAUACCACUCUUCCUCCACCUAACACACCUGCAUUUAUUUUCCAACAGCAGACCUCUCACAAUCCCAACUCUUCAACAUCAAGAUCAGGAGAAGCUGUUUCUUUGAAUAGCGUUACCAUAACUACACUUGAAGCUCGUUGAGCUCAAUAUAUAUAUAUAUAAUAUAUAUUAUUUAAAAGUGUGACCUUAUUCUUCUUGAUCUUGCAUCUCGAGCAUAUUAUUGAGACUAUGGAUCUAUCAUUAAAAAUAUCUUCUUACUUGA